AAAACAUGUCUGACCAUCAUUUGUUUCCCAUUAACUGUAGCAUUCCAAGUGGAUAAACAGAAUUUCCCAUUCAGCAUGAGAAAACAGAAAGCAGCCAGAGUCAUCAUAUAAACAUUUCCUCUCCGAAAGGACCACUCAGAAAUACUAUAAAUGGGAUUCAGAGGAACUUGUCACAGUUGUGCUUUGCAUGGACAUUAAAAAAAAAUGAAGCUAUCCAGAAUCAUGCUUGACUUCCCCCAUCUGCUCUUUUGUCAAGGAAAACCUGAGAAGAUCAGGUGUUUGAGAGUGAAAGGCUCCUUUCUCACAAGUAAGGACACAGAAUAGAGAAGAAGAAAUAACAACCAGCAUACACAGAG
rnacentral:lncRNA from 1 species